CGACGGCCAACGGGAGAUGAUAUAUGUGCGGCCACCAAUUCAUCGUUAUUUCUAAUACAGUUAUACAACAUCCAAAUCAACCUCGCCUUCACUUAAACUCUCUCUCCAAUAUCUCAUCUUUCUAAUUCUCUCUCUUCCCCUCUUUUUUCAACCCCGAUUCCUAUUUACAAACCCUAAUUCUUCCUUUUACACACAAUCUCCCCCAAUUUCCCUCUCGAUUUCUAGGGUUUCGCUCAAAAUCUCAGAUCAAUAAAAAUGCCGAUAAAGCCAAAGAAGCAAGGGUACGGACCAGUAAUGGAGACUCUCUCGAGCCAUCUUUGGGUCGGAAACUUACCACCAGAUGUCACCGAAUCUGAGUUGACAGAAUUGUUCGAUAAACAUGGAUUGCUUGAUGGCAUUACAUGUUACGCUUCUAGAAGUUACGCUUUUGUUUAUUAUAAGCGUGUUGAAGAUGCUGCUUCUGCCAAAACUGCUCUUCAAGGGUUUUUAAUUAAUGGCAGUCCUAUUAAGAUUGAGUUUGCUAAACCGGCUAAGCCCUCUAAGCAUGUAUGGAUUGGUGGAUUUGGCUCAUCAGUCACGAAGGAAAAGCUAGAGGAAGAGUUGAGUAAAUUUGGUCAAAUCGAAGACUUUAAGUUCAUUAGAGACCGGAACACUGCACUUGUUGACUUUGCUAGGUUGGAAGAUGCUUCAGCAGCUGUGAAGAAUGUGAAUGGGUUGCAAAUUGGUGAUGAUCGCAUACGGGUUGAUUUUCUGAGAUCCCAUCCCGCGAAAAGGGAACAAUAUGACUUCCAUGAUAUGGGGAGUGGACCAUAUAAAGGCUUUGGCGGUCCUGAUCCAUCAUGGAUAAAUCCAGACAUUAUGAGGAAUUAUUCAGAGCCAAUGUAUUCAGGACAUAAGAGACUGCAGCCAUCUCAACCACUUGGAGGUCGUAAAGGAGGUCAACCCAGCAAGGUAUUGUGGGUUGGGUAUCCUCCUUCUGUUGUGAUAGAUGAGGAGAUGCUGCAUAAUGCCAUGAUCCUGUACGGAGAGAUUGAGAGAAUAAAAUGUUUCCCUUCAAGAAAUUACUCAUUUGUAGAAUUCAGAAGUGUUGAAGAAGCAAAACAUGCGAAGGAUUCCUUGCAAGGAAGGCUAUUUAAUGAUCCCCGAGUCUCAAUAAUGUUCUCAAACAGUGAUUUGGCUCCUGGCAAAGAUUUUGGACCACCACAUUCUGGAUUUAGAGGCCAGAGGCCAGAUGUGUUUGGAAAUGAACUUCCUUUUAGACCUCCCUUUAUGGAUAUGUUUCCUUCAAACCAUGCUAUGCUGCCAAACAAUUUUCAUGGCCCUCCUGCACCUAAUGGUAUGCAUGGUCCUGGUCUACCAAGACCAUAUGGGCCUAGAGGAAGUUUGGAUCCGCUGUUGCCAACUCCAGAUUUUCAUGAUCCCAAUGUGCUUUCUUCAAUGUCUGAUCGGACUGCAAAUGCUGCCGUUAAUCAAAGAAAAUUGUCUCCUUCUGCUGCUGGAUUGCUUCCAUCUCCCGCAUUGCCAGGUAGGGCAUCCUAUAAGACGAGUGGGUGGGAUGUUCUUGAUCCAAAUCAGCUUCCAAGGGAAUCAAAGAGGUCUAGAAUAGAUGGUCCUACUUCAUUUCAUGAUCCUCUCACAGUAGGAAAAGGUGAUGAUUAUAUUGCAAGUGGUGAUCAGCAUUAUAGCUCUGGUCCUCAAUUUAUAGGUGGACCAUUAGCUAGAGCUCAGAUUGAUAGUGGAUUGAGUCCACCAGACACCGGAAUUCCAAAAGGAAACGUUAUGGGACAUGCUAGUGAGGAUUAUAUUUGGCGUGGCGUCAUUGCCAAGGGUGGUAAUCCUGUCUGCCAUGCUCGAUGCAUACCAAUGGGAAAAGGACUAGAGUUUGAACUACCAGAAGUUGUCAAUUGUUCUGCAAGAACAGGACUUGAUAUGUUGGCGAAGCAUUAUGCUGGUGCAAUUGGCUUUGACAUUGUCUUUUUCUUGCCCGACAGUGAAGAGGAUUUUGCUAAUUAUACUGAAUUUUUAAGGUAUCUUGGCUCAAAGAAUCGUGCUGGUGUGGCUAAAUUAGAUGAUGGUACCACAUUAUUUUUGGUCCCACCGUCAGAUUUUCUGACGGAUGUUCUUAAUGUGACUGGACGUGAGCGAUUAUAUGGUGUAGUGCUUAAGCUGCCUCAGCAACUCCCAGGUGGUGCAUCUCUUCCACAGGCAGUACAGCAACCACUCCCUAUUCAGCAAACAGAAAGUCAGCUGGGUCCUCCUACACAUGAAUAUGUUGCUCCUGAUAGAGAAUUGGCUGCUCAUAUGGAUUAUGGUAGAGCUGUACAUGAUGACACAGCAAUGCAUUCUAAAGCACCCUUCCAGAAUGCGUCUGUUUCACAAGAUCAAUCUUAUGAAGGUGUUCCUUCUUCACAACGACCUGCUGUCACAUUAACACCUGAGCUUAUUGCUACACUUCAAGCAUUUAUGCCAUCCAAUUCCCAAUCUUCAGCCACUCAAAGUGCUCAGCCACAAUUAAGCUCUUCCACAACAGGGCUUACACUAUCCGUUUCAGCAAAUGAGAAAGGAGCUUUCUCACAGAAUUGGAGCCAACAGCCUCAAGUUAUUGACUCAACUGGGCAAUCUCAACAGUUCGGAAUUCAAGGAUAUUCUAAUGCACCACUUGCUACUAACUUCCAGUCAUUUGCGUCCACCUUAAACAUGGGAAGCCACCAUGUUCCACUUCCUUCAGCAAAUAUGCAAAUGCAAAAUCCUCAAUAUAACUUUCAGGAGCAGGGUUCUGUUGCUUUGCGGCCUCCUAGUGCUCAGCCAGUAACAGCACAGAACCAGCAAUUCAUGCCACCGAUGCAGAAUAUGCAGCCUCAUCCUUCAGAUGUUCCUCAUAAUUUUCAGAAGGGUUAUGGGAUGAUGCAUGGAACACCGGUUGGCUCUUAUGCGAAAGCAGAUAGUCAACAGCAUACUGAUCAAGGUUCCUACUCCAAUCAAGUUAAUGGUGCUAAUCUUUCCCGUCCAGAAACUUUCUUGCCAACCUCUGCUGGGAAUAUGAACUCAGAGUCUCUGAAUCCACUUGAAAGAUCGCAAACACUGCCAUCUGGAAUUGGUCAAGGCUCAUCAGAGGUUGAGGUUGACAAAAAUCAACGUUAUCAGUCUACUUUACAAUUUGCUGCCAAUCUUCUACUUCAAAUUCAGCAGCAGCAACAGCAGCAGUCAAGUUCCCAUAUGGGAAAUCAACAGUGAGAUUUCCUUUUCUAUAGGUGGGUAAAUUAAGGUUGAUUGCAAAGAGGGAGAGAGGGGAGUUGGUGAUCACUUUUGCAGAAGGUUGUGUAGAAUCUAGACAUUUCUGGGUAAUUACGAGGGUCAGCUGCUGAUGCAGCAGAGAUAAACUCAUCACGUUCAAGACUGUAUUUGUUAUGGAAAUUGAACAUUUUCUUUAUUUACUUUUCGUUUGUUAUCAAAAUAUUGGUAGUGUUGUAGUUAGGCAUUUUUUCUCCUUUCUUUUUGGUUCAUCUUAUGUUUAGUUGUGUUAGUCUCCUCUUUCCGUC